CCUCCCAAAGUGCUGGGAUUACAGAUCAAGAACUCGGACCUAGCUGCACUAAGGACUAAGCAAACUACAAAGGAAGCAAGAGAUUGGAGUGAUUCAAGGAAGAAGCCACGAGCCAAGGAAUGCAGGUGGCCACUAGGAGCUGAAAAAUGCAAGGGAACCGAUGAUCCCCUCAGAGCCUCUGAAGGAGCCACCCCUGCCCAUACCUUGACUUUAGCCCAGUGAAACUGGUUUUGAAUUUCUGAC
rnacentral:lncRNA from 1 species